AACGAACGCUGGCGGCGUGCCUAACACAUGCAAGUCGAGCGCGAAUGGAGCAAUCCUAGUAGAGCGGCGCACGGGUGCGUAACACGUGGGUAAUCUGCCUCAAAGCCCGGGAUAACCUGCCGAAAGGCAAGCUAAUACCGGAUAAGCCUACGGACUCUUCGGGGUCUGAAGGAAAAGGUGGCCUCUGUAUACAAGCUAUCACUUUGAGAUGAGCCCGCGGCCCAUCAGCUCGUUGGCGGGGUAACGGCCCACCAAGGCAACGACGGGUAGCUGGUCUGAGAGGACGAUCAGCCACACUGGAACUGAGACACGGUCCAGACUCCUACGGGAGGCAGCAGUGGGAAUUUUGCGCAAUGGGCGAAAGCCUGACGCAGCAACGCCGCGUGUGUGAUGAAGGUC
rnacentral:rRNA from 1 species